rnacentral:sRNA from 1 species
AUGCGUUAGGGAUAGUAGCGGCAUCCUUUUUUUAUUUAGGCUUUUUUUGGGCCUAGAUAAAAAAAGAUAUAGCGAAUAGCCCGACCCCUU